GGGCGGGGUUUGCGAGGAGGCAGUUGGGCUGCCCAGCGCCCCUCAUUUGCCCCUCGACCCCCACAUCAUUGCACUGCGGGGCUGCAUCUACACUCCAGUCUUGGUGGAGACACCUUCCUGGGCCCUGGAGGAGGAGCGGAUGAGGGCGUCCCGGCUCCCCCACUCACUCCAGCUGCCUGGCUUCCUGAUAGAUGCCGCUGGCAAAAGUAUGCUCACGUGGGGAUUCGCGGAAGGACGCUGGAGUCAGCUCGAGUACUCCCCUUGCGCGAGGAGCACCUUCCGAGGGGAGAGGACCCAGCUGGGGAGCCUGGUGGAAGGAGGGGGCGACG